AACGAACGCUGGCGGCGCGCCUAAUACAUGCAAGUCGAGCGAGAAGACGUAGCAAUACGUUUGUAAAGCGGCGAACGGGUGAGGAAUACAUGGGUAACCUACCCUCGAGUGGGGAAUAACUAGCCGAAAGGUUAGCUAAUACCGCGUACGCUCCUUGGACUUCGGUUCAGGGAGGAAAGCGAUACCGUGGGUAUCGCGCUCUUGGAUGGGCUCAUGUCCUAUCAGCUUGUUGGUGAGGAACGGCUCACCAAGGCUUCGACGGGUAGCUGGUCUGAGAGGACAAUCAGCCACACUGGCACUGCGACACGGGCCAGACUCCUACGGGAGGCAGCAGUAAGGAAUAUUGCGCAA
rnacentral:rRNA from 1 species